GAUGAACGCUGGCGGCGUGCCUAAUACAUGCAAGUCGAGCGGUAAGGCUCCUUCGGGAGUACACGAGCGGCGGACGGCUGAGUAACGCGUAGGAACGUACCCCAAAGUGAGGGAUAAGCACCAGAAAUGGUGUCUAAUACCGCAUGUGGUCUAAGGAUUAAAGCUUCGGCGCUUUGGGAGCGGCCUGCGUAUGAUUAGCUUGUUGGUGAGGUAAUGGCUCACCAAGGCAAUGAUCAUUAGCUGGUCUGAGAGGAUGAUCAGCCAGACUGGGACUGAGAACGGCCCAGACUCCUACGGGAGGCAGCAGUAGGGAAUUUUCCACAAUGGACGAAAGUCUGAUGGAGCAACGCCGCGUGCAGGAUGAAUGCCUUCGGGUUGUAAACUGCUUUUAUAUGUGACGAUUAUGACGGUAGCAUAUGAAUAAGGAUCGGCUAAUUCCGUGCCAGCCGCCGCAGUAACAC
rnacentral:rRNA from 1 species